CAUCUUAAGGCUGAGAUACGAUGUCGAGCUACUACGGUAGUGAAGUCAUUGAUGCCAUGCUUCCGGGAAAAGCUUCUAAGCUUCAGAUUAUAAGAAAUCGUACCCCAAACCGACACAGGUGAUCAGGUAGAGAAUACCAAGGCGCUUGAGAGAACUCGGGUGAAGGAACUAGGCAAAAUGGUACCGUAACUUCGGGAGAAGGUACGCUCCUAGCGGUGAUGAGACUUGCUCUCUAAGCUGCCGGGAGUCGCAGAUACCAGGUGGCUGCAACUGUUUAUUAAAAACACAGCACUGUGCAAAAUCGAAAGAUGACGUAUACGGUGUGACGCCUGCCCGGUGCCGGAAGGUUAAUUGAUGGGGUUAGACUUCGGUCGAAGCUCUUGAUCGAAGCCCCGGUAAACGGCGGCCGUAACUAUAACGGUCCUAAGGUAGCGAAAUUCCUUGUCGGGUAAGUUCCGACCUGCACGAAUGGCGUAAUGAUGGCCACGCUGUCUCCACCCGAGACUCAGUGAAAUUGAAAUCGCAGUGAAGAUGCUGUGUACCCGCGGCUAGACGGAAAGACCCCGUGAACCUUUACUAUAGCUUGGCACUGAACAUUGACCCUACAUGUGUAGGAUAGGUGGGAGACGUUGAAGCAACCGCGCCAGUGGUUGUGGAGUCAAUCUUGAAAUACCACCCUUGUAUGCUUGAUGUUCUAACGUUGGCCCCUUAUCGGGGUUACGGACAGUGCCUGGUGGGUAGUUUGACUGGGGCGGUCUCCUCCCAAAGAGUAACGGAGGAGCACGAAGGUGGGCUAAUCACGGUCGGACAUCGUGAGGUUAGUGCAAUGGCAUAAGCCCGCUUGACUGCGAGAAUGACAAUUCGAGCAGGUGCGAAAGCAGGUCAUAGUGAUCCGGUGGUUCUGAAUGGAAGGGCCAUCGCUCAACGGAUAAAAGGUACUCCGGGGAUAACAGGCUGAUACCGCCCAAGAGUUCAUAUCGACGGCGGUGUUUGGCACCUCGAUGUCGGCUCAUCACAUCCUGGGGCUGAAGUCGGUCCCAAGGGUAUGGCUGUUCGCCAUUUAAAGUGGUACGCGAGCUGGGUUUAGAACGUCGUGAGACAGUUCGGUCCCUAUCUGCCGUGGGCGUUGGAUGAUUGAGAGGGGCUGCUCCUAGUACGAGAGGACCGGAGUGGACGAACCGCUGGUGUUCGGGUUGUAUCGCCAGAUGCAUUGCCCGGUAGCUAAGUUCGGAAUCGAUAACCGCUGAAAGCAUCUAAGCGGGAAGCGAGCCUCAAGAUGAGUCAUCCCUAGACCUUUAAGGUCUCUAAAGGGUUG
rnacentral:rRNA from 1 species